rnacentral:rRNA from 1 species
CGGACGGGUGAGUAAUGUCUGGGAAACUGCCUGAUGGAGGGGGAUAACUACUGGAAACGGUAGCUAAUACCGCAUAACGUCGCAAGACCAAAGAGGGGGACCUUCGGGCCUCUUGCCAUCGGAUGUGCCCAGAUGGGAUUAGCUAGUAGGUGGGGUAACGGCUCACCUAGGCGACGAUCCCUAGCUGGUCUGAGAGGAUGACCAACCACACUGGAACUGAGACACGGUCCAG